UUGUCUUUACAAUAUUGUUUCUCCUAACACUCCUUUAUCUCUCUUUUAUCUGUCUCUUUCCCUCUCUAAUAACAGAGGCUUAUGCAAAGAUCUGCAUUCUGUCAUUUUUGGAUUGGAUUAUGUUUGGCUGUAGGAUGAGCCAAAAUUUUUUUACUUGAAGAAAAAAAGUCAUUGCCUUUUUGCAAGCCUCUGGAAAACACCCUUAAUAUUUGUUUGUACUCCCCUUUAUGUUCUCUUUGCAUUUGUUCUUAAAGAGUAUUGCUAUAUACAAUGCAAUUAGCAAUAUUCUCUGAAAAAUGUCACAAAGGCUAUUAAAAUAUGACAUAAAGGCUGGAAGUGAGGAGCCUGACCAAGAAAAAUGGCAGGGAGAGCUUAAAAUGAUGGCGGAUUACUUUUUUGAACAGGGCAAAUUGUUCCAUUGUCCAGAUUCAUGAGUCAGCAUUCUUUAUGUUAAUAAUUUACAGUAAUAAAUGGUGAGUUAAUACCAGGUUUGUCUAGGACAAAAGAAUGUCUGGAUCUGAAAUGAGUGACUUAUCUUGGAAUCAGUUUGGAUGGAGCGGUACUGUAUGGAAAUGAAGGGAAAAAAUUGAAAUAGAGCAGAAGCUGCAUGUCCACUCCUCAGCAGUGGCAGGGUUUUUCAUGUGGAACGAUGCAGAACUUGGUCUGCUCUCAGUCAAUGGUGCUAAAUGUUUCUUUGAGAUGAACUCCACAAAGUACAAGUGUGUUUCUUUGAAACUGGGACUUUUGGGAGCUUUCAUUCCUUCGACGUGUGCAAAAGGUACAUUUUGUGGCUCCUCUUUCUCAGGGCUAGGUUGUGCAGUGUGCCCUCUGUGUGGUUUAGCAUGUGAUUUUGUCAGCAUGAGCAGUUGAGAUUGUUAGGGCACAAUUCCUUCCCUACGCACCCCCUUCCCCCCCUUUAAUUUACCAUAGGUAAAUUAUUAUCAGUCUCAGCAGGCUGGCUCAGUUCUGUUGACUGAUGCCAGCUACUUCCAUUCUUCACUCCUCUCUACCUACUUACUUGGCAAAGAAAAGUGGGUACACAAUCUGUGUAGAUUUGGAAAAGGUUCAGAAAGCAUCAAUGCUUUGGGCAGUCCCUGCCCACUGCAGCAGGGAGCUGGACCCUGACUUGGAGCUGCAGUGAAAAUGACUAACCUGGGGGCAAUGAACCCUUGCAGUGAUCAGGAAGCUCAAGAAGUUAAGAGGACUGAUUGCUUCAGCAGGGCCAUGGCUUGUGUCUUAGAGAGAAGAAUGGUCCUUCCUGUGUUUCGGAGUCAUCUAUAUGUCUAAAGACUUUUGUGAACUUUAGGAAACUAGGGGGUACCCACAUUACUGUAAAAAAAAAAACAAACAAAUAAAUAAAUAAAUAGCAUUGUCCUCACAGUAGUACUUAUUUACGCUAACAAUCCUCCAAACUGUCUCCAGAUUUUUUUUUUUUUUGUUUCAAUUACACUGUAAUCUUCAGUCCCAUUUCGUUCUCACAUUUGUUUAUCUUAUCGCAUCUCAUCUUGCUUGUUCCACUCAGAACAAUUUAGGUGCCCUACUUCACUAGACAAAUUGGCUGGCACUACACAGAUUUGCUGGCCUUGUAUCUUCAAGCAGAUAUCAACAUCCUACCUUGUAAGAUGCUGUUAGCAAGCAACAAAAGCAAAGACAAAAUUAAAGGAGGUUAGUGAAAGCUUGUGUCAGGCAUUAUGUCCUUCCAUGAA